rnacentral:rRNA from 1 species
GUGCCAGCAGCCGCGGUAAUACGUAGGGGGCAAGCGUUGUCCGGAAUUAUUGGGCGUAAAGCGCGCGCAGGCGGUUCUUUAAGUCUGGUGUCUAAGUGCGGGGCUCAACCCCGUGACGCACUGGAAACUGGGGAACUUGAGUGCAGAAGAGGAGAGCGGAAUUCCACGUGUAGCGGUGAAAUGCGUAGAGAUGUGGAGGAACACCAGUUGCGAAGGCGCCUUGCUGGCCGAUUGCUGACGCUGAGGCGCGAAAGCGUGGGGAGCAAACAGGAUUAGAUACCCUGGUAGUCCACGCCGUAAACGAUGAGUGCUAGGUGUUGGCGGUUUCAAUACCGUCAGUGCCGAAGCUAACGCAUUAAGCACUCCGCCUGGGGAGUACGGUCGCAAGACUGAAACUCAAAGGAAUUGACGG